rnacentral:rRNA from 1 species
CCUCGCGCGGUUGGAUGGACCGAUGUUCGAUUAGCUUGUUGGUGGGGUAAAGGCCUACCAAGGCGACGAUCGAUAGCUGGUCUGAGAGGAUGAUCAGCCACACUGGGACUGAGACACGGCCCAGACUCCUACGGGAGGCAGCAGUGGGGAAUAUUGGACAAUGGGCGCAAGCCUGAUCCAGCAAUGCCGCGUGUGUGAAGAAGGCCUUCGGGUUGUAAAGCACUUUUAUCAGGAGCGAAAUACCACGGGUUAAUACCCUAUGGGGCUGACGGUACCUGAGGAAUAAGCACCGGCUAACUUCGUGCCAGCAGCCGCGGUAAUACGAAGGGUGCAAGCGUUAAUCGGAAUUACUGGGCGUAAAGCGUGCGUAGGUGGUUUUUUAAGUCUGCUGUGAAAUCCCCGGGCUCAACCUGGGAAUGGCAGUGGAUACUGGAAAGCUAGAGUGUGAGAGAGGAUGGUGGAAUUCCCGGUGUAGCGGUGAAAUGCGUAGAGAUCGGGAGGAACAUCAGUGGCGAAGGCGGCCAU